GGUCAUCAGCAAAGGAAAGGGGCUCGGUGUCAGUCAUGCAGGGCACGAGCUCCAGCACUGGUUUGGCAUUAGGGCUUUCCUUCCCCGCAAGGAGGCCGUUUCAAACCUCUUCCCCGUUUCCAUCCCCAUCCUCAUUAGAUUAAGCUCAACUCGGACACCCCACCACCCCAACCCCCCUCCGCCCGCCGGCGCGUGCUUUUUCAACCCUCUCCACUCUCUCUCUCUGUCGCGAAAGCCAGCCCUUCACAGUAGCAAAGCCCCUGGACCUCUUCAUUGGCUUCGCAUUAGUUCUGCCUUCAUCGUCUUCUUCCUGCCUUGAUUUUAUCUUAUCUCGUCUCCCGGGAGGACAUUGAGGUUGAUGUGGGGUUUUCAAGGAUCGAUCUUGAAAGGUUCAUAAGUACAAGGUGCUUCUUGGUUUCACUACAUGGUCUCAAUCAUGGGUUUUGACAAUGAGUGCAUUCUGAGCAUCCAAUCUCUACCUGGAGAGUACUUCUGCCCCGUGUGUCGUUUGCUUGUGUACCCAAAUGAAGCACUGCAGUCACAAUGUACCCAUUUGUACUGCAAACCAUGCCUGGCAUAUAUUGCAAACAGUAGCAGGGCUUGCCCUUAUGAUGGCUAUUUAGUUACCGAAGCAGAUUCCAAGCCACUUAUCGAGUCCAACCAAGCACUAGCUGAGACUAUCAACAAGAUAGCAGUCCACUGUCUCUACCAUAGGAGUGGGUGCACAUGGCAGGGCCCACUUUCAGAGUGUAUAUAUCAUUGUUCUGGAUGUGCAUUUGGCAACUCUCCUGUUGUGUGCAACAGAUGUGGGAUCCAGAUCAUUCAUCGACAAGUUCAGGAACAUGCGCAAAGCUGUCCUGGUGUGCAACCCCAGGCAGUUCCUCCUCAUGAGGCUACUGCUGCAAGUGCAGGGGCUACAAACCCAAGCCAGAUCAGCAAACCAGCUGAACCUGCAAGUUCUCAGGCUCAGAUCUCUCAAGCUGUUAAUGUGGUUGCUGCACCAACUCCGGAACAAUGGUAUCAGCAGCAAUAUCAUCAGUAUAAUCAACAACAUGCUGGAUAUGAUGCAUAUAACCAACAAUAUCAGCAGUACUACCCCCAUCAGCAGCCACAGGAAGCUGUGCAGCCUCAACAUUAUCAACAGCCACAGCCACAGGUUCAAGGCCCGCUGCCACCUCAAUCACAGCUUCAUGGUCCGGCUUCGUCUCCACUAAAACAGCAGUCAUCUAAUGUCCAGCAGCCUGCUCCUCCUUCUCAGCCCCAGGCUCUGGCCCAGCCACAUGGACAGCCCCAAGUGCCUCCGCAAACACAGGUACAAUCACAAGUGACUGCUGUUCCAGUGGUUCCUCCUCCUCCUCCUCCAAAUCAACAGCAGCAACCUCGGCCUGCUAUCAUACCGUAUCCUCAACUUAACAUGCAGAAUAAUCCAGCUCAGCCUCUUCAGUUUAAUCCAUCACAUUUGCUGCAGUACCCACAACUUCCUACACAAAAUCCUGUGCUGCAGCAUCCUCAAUCUUCGGUUCUUCAUCCUCCACCACACCCUCGGCCCCUGCCCCACUCUCAAGUCCAACCGCAUUCACAAGCUCAACCACAUGGACCAGUUCCACAUCCUCAAGGUCCGCAUCAUGUACAUCAAUCUCAGCCAAACCCACCUGCUAAUGUGCUGAUUCAACCGCAAGUACAAUCAACCCAUACUGUGGCAGGUUUUCAAUCAUAUCCACCACCUCAGCCUCCCUGUCAAUUGCAGUUGGGAGGUCCCCAGCAGCAUACUGUUCCCAUUGGACCUUCCCAACUGUCGCAGCAGCCUGUUCAAGUGCACGGCCAGGGCCAGUUCCCUCAACCUUCUCUGGCAGUUCGUCCCCCACAAGCCCAAGCAACCAUUCUGAACCAGCUUAAUCCGGGGUCCUUGCCACCGCCUCCUCGCUCGACGAAUUUUCUUUCAGCACAGCAGCCCUUCCACCCCCAUUCUCAACCGCCUGGACAACUAGUUUCCCCACAUAAUGUUAUGCAGCCGAUUCAGCAACAUCUCUCUCAGCCACAUGCCCAACAGAAGCAGCCUUCAUUGGGAGGACAGCAACUAGGAUUCACCCAGAAUCAGUUAUAUCAGCAAGCAUCUUUUGCUCAGCAGCAGAUGCCCAUGCACCCUCAGAUGCGCCCCCUUGGUCCAACUCCGUCUAAUCCUCCCCAGCCACAGCAGAAUGUUGCAGUUUUGCACAGCUUGCAACAUCCUCAUCUUUCUCAAAAUGUAGUUGGAAGACCUCCAGUGCCAAAUCAUGGGGUACCAUUGCAAGUUUCUCCACGUGCACCUGGUGUGGUUCAGGUCAGGCCACCCCAACCAGGAUCUAACCCAAAUAACCUGGUUGUUCCAAAUAGCCGAGUGCAACCAUCUUUGCAAGAACACCAUGGCUCAGUUUUCUACUCACCGAUGCUGGAGAGAAGUGUAACCAAUAAUCAGGCUGGUUUAUCGUCUCAAAGAACUACUAAAGUGGAUGAAAAAUCUCUUGGAGGUAAUGUUAAUGAAAUAAAGACAUUGAAAACUGAGACAGACUCGAAUCAUCCACCCGUUGAGCAGAAGGCUUCUGAAAAUCAAGGGGCUCCUAAGAAAAUGACAAAGGAGGAAUCUGCUCAGAAUGAGCAGCCUUCAGAUGCCAAAUCAGGGAGAGUUUUACUCAAGGAUCAUAAAGAUUUCCCUACCAACGGCCCGGAACUUGAUAAAAGUGUCACCCAUGGAGGGAAGGAGAAUCAAGCUGGACCUCUUCUGGGUACUUCUGUGCAACACAAUGAGCUUACUGAGGAACGAGUACAGACAGACACUAGUUCGGUCAUGGAACCCUCUGCCAAUGAAAGAGUCCCUUCUGCUGCUCAUGGAGUUGAUGGUUCCAGAGGUGUUCCUUCACCAGGUCAGAAAUCUGCUCGUGGGGUUGCACGGCUCCCAUCGCAGCAGAGGGUUGCUGCUCCUUCAGGAUUACCUGCCGCUCCUCCUGGCCCUCCACUUAAGUCGCGUUCCCCAGGGCAACCACUUGACCAGUUUGGGCCUCCUGGGUUUGGCUUACAGCCGAGACAGCUGAAUCCACCUGAAAAAGUCCUACCGCCCUUCUCAAAGCAACCUUUUGAUCCAACAAUUUCAUCUGGUUGUAUGCCUUGUCAUGAUUCCUUGCCACCUCUUGGAAGAGGACAAAGACAGUUUCAGCACCAGUUUGCUCCUCUACAUGUUCCUCAUAAUCAGGGCCAUCUUCAUCAAAGAAUGCCUAUGGGUGAACCUCUUGAAGGAAUUCCUCCUGGUGCAUCAGAUAGAUUGGGUGGGAUGUCCAUUUCCCAGAAGCAUGCCCCUAAUGCAAUGGAAGCUGAAACAUUUCCAGUGAGGAGGCCUUUUUACAUGGACAGCCGACAACCUGACCGCAGUCUCCCGGUUAGCAUGGAACGAGGCCCGUGGGGGCCCCCAGCAAGAAUGGACAGGCCUCCUGGAGUUGAGUUGUCGUUGUUUUAUGACCAGGAAGAAAGGUUCAAGUCUUUCCCAUAUGAGCAUAUGCAUGCAUCAUCAGUCAACUCGUCUCGGCAUGUUUAUGAGCGCAGAUGGUUCGAAGAGGAGUCAAAAAGCUUACGUGAUCCUAUUGCAAAAUAUGGUAAUCAUUUUCCCUUAGGAGGUCGUUUCGAUGGAGAUCCAUUUGAGAAAGCAGUUCACGGGCUUAUUUCUGACAAUGCUGGUUCUACAUCUUCGAGGAUGCUUCCUCGUGAUCGUGAUGUUGUAUUAGGAAAGAGACGUUUUGAUCCUCCUGAAGAUAAUGCGGAGAGAUUAGACUCAUAUCACAGACGCGCUGAUAUGUUGGGGUCACUUCCAGGUUAUACUCGGAGCAGUAUGGAAGCUUCUGCCAUUAGAAGUCCAGGUAGAGAACAUGGUGGCAUCUCUUCACGUGGGUUAGGAGGCCUUCCCAGUAUUUCACAUAGUUCAUUGGGAUCAGAUGAUAUUGUUCGAAGGGAAUCACAUUUAUAUCGCGAUCCGAUUGGCAGAUCUUUCCCUGAAAGUAGAUUUCAAGGGUUGCCCAGGCAUUUCCAUAAGAGUGAAUUUGAGCGUCCAGGAAAUUUAGGAAGUAGGGAACACUUGAGAAAUGGUGAUCUGAUAGGUCGAGAUUUUCCAAGCCAUAUGCCAAGACAUGAACUAUUAGGUAUUCGGAACUUACGGAUGGGGGACCCUGGUGGCUUUGAUUCCUUCCGCGAUCAUGCUCCUGCUGGAGACAUAGUUGGCCCUGAAAUAUAUAGAGGACAACCAGGAUUUAGGAGCACCUUGUCCCUAAAGGGAUUCUCUGCUGGAAAGGAGUCCUUUGAUGACUUGAGAAGUAGAAGGGUCACUAACAUGGGCUGGUGUCGCAUAUGCAACGUUGACUGUGAAUCAGUUGAAGGACUGGACUUGCAUUCACAGACAACAGAGCACCAAAAAGUGGCUAUGGAUAUUGUUCGGAGCAUUAAGCAGCAGAAUGCCAAGAAACAGAAAGUGUAACUUUCUCUUGUUUAAAAAAGUUCCAGUGGCAAAUCUUCAGUUGAAGAUCCAAGCAGGUCAAAAACCCAUAAUAGCGAGGUCCGUGGAAGGAAGCACUGAAAGUGUGGCUAUUGUCUGCUGUUUUGAUUCCUCUGGUGCAGUGCUGAUAAGAAAAGAAGUCAUGGUCUCUGCAUUUAGAAGUGUAGGUGAUCUUUUCAAUUCGACCUGUCUUUUUGGGAGAAGCUGACAGCUAAAUGGCUUAAAGUCCAGCGGAAAAGGUUUCUGCUGCCUUUAUCUGGCUUUGGUAAGGUUGUGCUUAGCGCAUAGAUUUCCUUAGCGGCAAAAUCACUCUCAUUAUUUAUGUCUUUUGUGAUGUAUUGAGUUAUUACGAUCAUCAUGCUGUCCUUUUGUCAUGCUUUUUUUAUUUUGUAAUGUUUACCUGAAUGUAGAUUUUGCAUACCUGAAAACAAAAUGCUUUAUAUGUUAUUGAUAAAGUAUAUACCUUUUAUAAAGGCAAAAUGCAUCUGAAAAAAAUGUAUAUUAUCAGGCUUGUACCUGGUAUGGACAACCAAUUUCUGGUUGGUUAAUGGUCACAAAUUGGGGAUGAGGUUAAUCGCAUGAUAAGACUAUCCCAUGAAGGCACAAAGGCAUAACUUUGCUUAAGAAAAUUUUAGUUAUGACAUUGAGCACUGAAACUGUUAGGAAGAUCAGGGAGAUCUUGAUAUCUAUCCUUAUUAUCGAAGGCUCUUAGUUAAAUGACCCUUUCUUAGGGAAAAGAACGGGCCAUGUCUAUGGUGGGUCUGCCUCAACCGUCGUGACCUUGAAGGAUAAUAAUAAAAAAAAGUAGAAAAUGAAGGAAAAUAUUGAAAAAAAUAUAAUGAAUCUUAAUCCAUGACACAAAAAAUUGCUCAUAAUUGGACAGACUAUUCUAUAGCGUUUUAUGUUAAUCAUGGUAGGUCAAAGUGAUAAUGAGAGAAAUCAGAGAAGAAAAUCAUAAAUAACGCUAGAGGAUUUUUUUUUUUGGCCACACUCUAGAAGAUUAAAUGGUGUUUAGAGAACACUGUCACGUGUAGUUUUGAACCUAGGAAGAAGGAAAUUGCAGAUUGGGCUUUCAAGUCCAGAAUAAGAGGCCCUAUAAAUUUGAGUAAUUAUUGCUAAUGUACAUAAAAGGUAAGUCAAAUCAUCUUCCUUUCUUGGGUUUUAGGAUAGAGUUGCACUAAACUCCAUAACUGCCCUUCCCAGUUGAGAUUGGCCAUGUAUCCUCCAUCCGUUACCAUUUUAGGGAGUUAGAUACCCAUCUAGGUGUAUCAUAUUGCCAAGCGAGCAAGAAACGUGGAGCUAUACGGAUGGCAUUGACUGCAUUCAAGGAAUCACCAUUAAUUAACAACUAAUUCAUAGGUCAGUUGUGAAUGGUAAUGAAAUGAUGAGAAGCUAAAUCAAUUUUAUCAUCUCUUUGUUCAUGUACUUUUGAUAAAUAGAGUUUAAUUUUAUAUUUCCUUUUGCCACUCUUAUAUAAAAGGAAUGUGACCAAGGAAGUGACAGCCGUUAUAUUUUGAGAGGAUUUACAGGGCUACUGCUAUAGUUGAGGCUGUAGUUCAUUCCGAGUCAGGUGAUUUCACAGGGUUCCAUACUUGCUAUGCUUGUGUGUGCGCUUUUAACAGAUAAGGUUACAGUUUUAUUGGUAUAUAAUACAAGUUACUGCACUUAAAGUUAUGAGACAAAGGAUGGGAUCUUUUACUGGUAUAUGUAAUACUGGAGCACAGUAAAACUCAAGUCGAAAUUAUGCAGGAAAAAGGCUCUGAGGUUUCUGUGAUGUGUAAUAUGUAUAUAUACUGCUGGGUCAAAUUGCUUAAAGCACCCUAUGAAUCACCAGGGAAGAGAGGAAAAAGGCUAACAAAAAGCACCAUCCACCAUAGAAAUUCCUAGUUAGAAACCCACUAGCGCAAUUGUCUUCCUCUUUAGUCUAGUUACACAUUGCUCCCUUUUAAAUAUAGUACCGUAUAAGUUUAGUUAGAAUGAUUUUCUGUCUUGUUUUGUGAUAUGUGUGGAAGAGUAACCUAUUUUUGGGCAUGGUGGGCUCAUAUUUUGAGUUUGUGGUUCAUUUCUUAAAGAAUACAAAGAGCUGACUAAUGAUUUUUUUAUCUGAUGAAAGAGUACUUUGCCUUUUGUCAUUAAACUUUGCCAUUCCAUUUCUAUAGGAUAGGAAAUUUGAUUGCAUAAUGAAGACUGAAGCUCAUCUUUCUUUGUGAAAUCACCAAAAUCUAUGUGAGAUAAAAGCUCAUGGUAGCAGAGUGCAUAAUUAGUUCCUGAAUCAUUAUACGUAUUCUCAUGAAAUUUAUUUGGAACAAAGUAAUUUGGAGUAUGAUGAUUCUUUAUGUGAGAAAGGGAAACCGAUUCUUAUUUCACACGAAGUUGGUCUGUGGGAUAUGAGCAUUCUCUAUAGCAUUCUGUGUAGGUUUCUGGUGGAUGCACUUUCAUUGUCCGUUCCACAAUUGUUGUGUAUCGCUGAUUAAUGCUAUGGCCAUGACCAAUUUUCGUACUACAUUCACAAUGUGCUGUUGAACAAAAGUAUAAAUAAAUUUAAUUAUCGUUUAUGUGAAUUCAUAGAUCUUGAAUGAUCCAUGGAAUUGUUUUUGCCCCCCCUAAAUAUCCAUAGCUUGAUUUUAGUUUGAAGAGGAGAGAGAUUAGAAAGAAUGGGAUGUCUAUCAUAACUUUUGGGUUUCUAGCAAUCCACAUUUAGCUGAAUUGUAAUCAGUAUUCUUGACUUUGGGGGUUGAAUUAAGGGUUUACAUCAAUUUUGGAACUUGGAUUGCAUUGGAUUCGUUUAUAUUGGGAUAUUGCUGAUUUAGGUAUUAUGAGAGUUUUUAUGAUAAUUAGGUAGAAAUUUCUAGAGUUUGCAUGAAAUAUGGGUGGGCUGGAAAUUUACCUCUCUUGGCAGUGCACUUUAAUGAGGUAAUAAUUGGUGCUUUUCGACAAACCGUACGGUUAGCAUCCGCUCUUAUAAUCUCUAUUGCUGACAAAAUUGGUCAUUUCUUGGCGUUAUGAUAUGGGGCAGUUUGAUUUGGAGGCACUGCUGGACUUGAAAUUCUGCUGCUUGUAUCUGGACCAGGUUUGUGUGUUCCUGUAAGUUUCACGUCCUGAAUUAUAAAUACUUUUAUCUUUAAUAUUGUAUUAAUGAAGGAUUACGCGCUUGCUGGAGUUUGGUUGUAAUAUUUGCUGGAGUUUGGUUGUAAUAAUCUCUAUUCUUUUUCUGGUUAGUGAAUUAGGUCAAUGCCAAUUAGCAGCUGUUGAAUUCUCCGGAGUACUAGGUGUGGCCAUAGCUAAUGUCUUGCUAGUUUUGCUGAAUAGCUUUGGAAAAUGAUAAAAAGAAGUAUGUCAUUGCUUAGAUUAGUGUGUCAAUUAGAAUAGCUAAUGUCUCUUUGAUGAUUUUGUUCUAGUCCAUGAUCAGAUGUUUGAUGAAGUGAUAGCUCCAAGUGGCAUAAUAAAAUCUCGGAAAUCUAUUUCGGCCUGCUAAGUAUAUAUCGUUCAAUCUCGAUGAUGCAAAAUAUAAGGUGGUACCCACUGACCAGAGGAAAGGGGGAUGCAUGGGAAGGGCAUUAAGGAGAUUGACUAUGAAUUAUUGUUGGGCGCGGGAUCGAUAGGCAUGCAAGGGUUAUAGAGGCAGUUUCAUUUGUUGCGGCAUUUCAUUCAACUGCAUCUCUAUGAAAUUAAACUCCCACCGCCUCUUGUAUCCACGGUUGCUACGUGAAAACGGAAAAGGGAAUGGAAUACUUUUUGUGCAUUUUGUUGGGGCUGUGCUUUCAGGAGGUACUUCCUAAGAUUUCAUGAAGCAGUGAGCGUUUGUUCAAUGCAAAAAGGGCUGGUUAGGGACUCGUCAAAUUCCCGUGCAAAAGUAUGUAAUCAGGUGGUUCUCUCACUACAUCAAUAUGGUCAGGAUUAUCAUGUUUCGGCCUCUUGUUUAACUCCUCGGUUGGUGGACAUCUAUGUCAACAUAUAUGUCAAUGAUCUGUUGGAUAGAUAUGACUACAUUUUCUGAUGUGAUGGAAGAUUUGAAAGUUUGCACUUGUUGUCGAGAUUGAUUCGAAUUAUGUAUUUCCUUCGAGCUAAAUUCCUUUACAUAAGCCUUUGACAUUCUUUGUUAA